rnacentral:ncRNA from 1 species
UUUUUCUUUGUCUCUUCGUUGAGUGGCUGAGGGGUUCUGAUCCAUAAGUUUGUGGUUCGAACUUGACCCCCUUGAGCUACCCAACAUACUAACCACUUCUAACUCUUUGGGCAAGGUGAAUAUAAAAAAAAAAUAGCCAAAUGUUUCGUCAUCUAAUUAGUGACGCGCAUGAAUGGAUUAACGAGAUUCCCACUAUAGCUAU